GCCGGGGGGUUCAGAUGCUGGUUCCAAGCAAAGACGAAAAAUUGGGUGGAAGCUGCCUGUCUGUCUGUUGAACCUCACCCCAUCUAUCCACCCACUUAUUCACCCAUCCAUCCACCCACCAAUCCACCCAUCCACCCAUCUCUCCAUCCUUCCAUCCAACCACUCAACACAUAAUAGCAAAGCCCCUAGAAUAUUCCAUGUCUUGCACUGAGGACAUGGUGGUUAGACCCGACCCCUGCCCUCAAGGUGAGUACAGUCUAGAGAGAAAACUUACGUAUUUACAGUCAGUGUGAUAAGUCUAAGUCUAAGAAGCAUAGGUGGCUGAGGGACACAAGCAUGAGACACCCACAUGAUCUGGACAGGGAGGAGAGUGGGUGAUAGCUGAGCAAAGGCUGAAGGAUAAUGAAGAGUUGGCAGUAAGUAAAGUGGAAAGACAGAGCAUCCCAGGCACAGAGAAUAGCUUGUGCCAAGGCCUGGAGAGAGCUGGGCAUUUUGGGGGAACUACUAGGAGCUCAGGAGAGCUGUACCCUCAAGUGUGAUGGGAGAAGGAGGUAAGAGGUGAGAUGCAAAGGAGGUGACCAGGGGUCUCCACCUGAAGGGCUUCCUGGACCUUGGCAAAUAGUUGGACUUCAUCCUGAAGGCCAGAGGCAGAUUUUCUGUGAUUUUAAAGGACUCAUCACCACCUACAGCAACAUCUCCCCUGCCACACCCCCUCAGUAGGGAUCAACUGCUUCUCACCUCCCAGCCUGAAGUAGCCUGGGCUCCCUUUCCUUGGUACUAAGCCCUGAAAGCUUGGCUCAGGGCUGCAGGGUUUGCUGUGUCCAGGAAGGUUUCCCUCUCCCCCUCCAUUAACACACAUUGUACCCAUGCCUGAGGCCACACCAUCAGCACCGUGGAGUAGUCACCAGGCAAAGCUAUCACCAAGAGGUGACUACAUUCAACUCUUCCCUGAGGUUGCUAAAACAGACAUGGAGGGCAGUUUCUCCAGCAGUAAGAAUGGAUUGCAUUGCAAUAUCCAGACCCUCUCACUACCUGCAGGGCCUCUGCACACUCUCCUUCCACCUGCCCAUUACUAACAGGAGUAGUGCCCAUGAAAUUUGUUGAAGGCACAGUAAUGAAUGACCUGCAUUUGACAGACAUCCACUGAGUAUCGGGCUAUGGGCCUAAUCCAUGACCAAGGUUGAGGGGCAGUUUGACCAGGGUUAGGGUCAGCCAUAAGAGAUGACAUCUAUUAGAAUAGAGGCUACCUGAGGACCAAGAUAUUGUCUGUCUAGGUCCCCACUGUAAUCCUCAGGACAUACAGCAAUGCCUCCUGCUCAAUAAAUAGACACUGAAUAAAUGAAUGAAUGAAUGAAUGUUAACCAAGCUUCAUGGAAUAGCCAGGGCCCUGGCUCAGGGACAGCCUAUGUCCAGUGGUAAGUCAGUCUGAGAAGCAUGUUGGAGCCUUUCUGUAGUGAGCACCAGGGCCAGGGAACUGAACGAAAAUCAAAGGACCCCCUUGGUAAUCAAGCCACCAUCUUGAUUUCCCCAGCAAUGGGUCCUGCUCCAGCCCCCAAACUCACUGACACCUCCAGCCCCUGGAGAACUAGUAUACCAUAAGACAACACCCAUCCUUCACAGAUGUCUGGCUCAUGCAAACUUCCCCCCACCCCACCCCGCCACACAUAAGAGCUGGUGACAUCAGGUGUCUUUGGACCUCAAGUCCCAGCUGAUCUGGUUGUGCUGUGUUGUCAGUGCCUCCCCAUCAUUGUAAGAACAAGGCCAAAAUCCUUGACAUGGCAUCCAAUGCCCUGCCUACCUCUGCAGCCCCUGCCUUACCACCUCAACGCUGGCCCAGGCUCUGUGCUCCAGCAACAGUGAACACCCUGCCAUUUCCUACUUCCACGCCAUAGUAGGCAUGGUUCCUGCUCCAUGCCAUACGCUUUUCCUCCUUAAAAAUAUGGCAAAUCAUUACUUCUUCAAAACGCGUGUCCUUAAAUAGUUGACCAAUUCAUUCCGACGUUCCUCACUGUCACAAAGUAUGGUAAUGACCAAUUCUGUUUCUCUUUCCUGCCUUUUAAAAAAUCUCCGUAUCCCCAGCACCCAGCCCCAGGCUUGACACUCAUCACCACCACCACCACCUCCAUCACUACCACCGCUGUCAUCAUCACUACCACCAUUGCCACCACCCCAUCAUCACCACUCCAUCAUUCCCACCACCACCUCCACCACCAUCACUGCCAUUACUGUCGUCACAACUGACAUUCACUGAGCACUUACUGUGUGCCAGGCCCAGUGUGAAGGCAUCCCCAGAAAGAUCCCAAUAAGGAGGACGGUCCUUUAUCAUUAUCCCCAUUGUACAGAUGAACAGAUCGAGGCUCCUAGCCAUUUGGUAACUUGUUCAAUAAUUCAAAUUCAAGCUGUUUCUUCCUUAUCCAAACCAAGGUAAGAGCCUGGAGCCCAGGUAAUCCAAAAAAUUCCUUACAACAUUGGUUCUGUUUGACUUUGGACUGUCUUGAAGAGGUCAACCACUUAGAAAGCCACUAAUAUCUGUGGACUCCAGACACUGCCCCAGGUACCACAUCUUAGAAUGUGAACCUUUGGGGCAGAGCUCCUGAAAUGCCAUCUGCCCCCGUGACCCGUAACCCCUGCUCCACCCCUGGGCUUAGAUACAGCACCAGGCAGCUGACUUGCAGAGCCACUGAUGAGGAGCCAACAUCUACUCCGUACAGCCCCACCAGGUGCCACUCGCCUCCGGAAGGAUGGAUCCCAGCAGCAGCCAACUCCUCAGGCAGGCAGUUUGAUGGAUCCUACAGGAAAAGAAAACCUCCCAGACAGUCAGCUGGCACUCUCUGCUUCUCUCCAUGUCUCUCCCUUACCCCCUAGGCUGGAGAGGGAGAUGAGGAGAUUCCAGGUGAUGUCACCCUCCUGCCCAGCAUCCCAACCUUCCCUGGCAUUGUCCCCUCCAUGUGCACAAGCCUACUGAGGCCUUCACAAGAUGUCUCGCCCUCCCAUGACCCCUACCCACAGUCCAGCCCAAGCAUCAGGAAAGGGCCUUUAUCCCAGCAUCCUGCCAGUCCACCGAGACGGGCAGGGCAGCUCCGGGGACAGCUCCCAUACCUCGCAAUAGCACCAAUAAUCCCUUCAUUUCAGACAGCACAAGACAGUUUAUCACUCACCUCCACACCCAUUUUCUCAAGAAUAUUGGGGGCCCCACUUCCUCCUAGAAUCAGAGCCUAUUACAGAAGCAUCUGAUGAUCAUACUUACGGUCUGGUGCCUUUCACUGACCCUCAGCAUUGCACAGCAGUGAUGAGAAGCACAAUAAAAAUAGAAGCAAUAGGCCGGGCGUGGUGGCUCAAGCCUGUAAUCCCAGUACUUUGGGAGGCCGAGGCGGGCGGAUCACAAGGUCAGGAGAUCGAGACCAUCCUGGCUAACGUGAAACCCCAUCUCUACUAAAAAUAUUAAAAAAAAAACUUAGCUGGGCGUGGUGGCGGGCACCUGUAGUCCCAGCUACUCGGGAGGCUGAGACAGGAGAAUGGCGUGAACCUGGGAGGCAGAACUUGCAGUGAGCCGAGAUCGCACCACUGCACUCCAGCCUGGGCGACAGAGCGAGACUCUGUCUCAAAAAACAAACAAAAAAAAAUAAAUUUUAAAAAAUCGAAGCGAUCUUCAUUAAGCUCUUGCUUUGGGCCAGACAUGUUCCAACUGCCUUGCAGGUAUUCAAUCAUUUCAUUCGCACAUGAGCCCAUAAACUAGAAACUCUCAUCAUCUCCAUUUUACAGAUGAGAAAACUGAGGCUGAGAGAGGCUAAGCCACCUGCUAUAGGCCUCCCAGCUAGAAGGUGGCAGUGCCAGGAUUACUUUUAUAUACCAGGAGGGGAAUUGCCUGGCCCCAGUAAAGGGGUUAG
rnacentral:lncRNA from 1 species